rnacentral:rRNA from 1 species
GAUGAACGCUGGCGGCGUGCCUAACACAUGCAAGUCGAACGGCAGCACAGUAAGAUUUUUUUCUUACGGUUAGCGGCUGACGGGUGAGUAACACGUGCAUAACCUUCUACUUUUUCUGGGAUAACUACGUAAAACAGGUGCUACUAAUAGAUCAUACCUCCUACGGGUUAGAGCAUGGGUGAAUCGGGCUUUUCUCGUUUGAAUUAGCCGAGGUCGCAUUAGCUAGUUGGGGGGGUAAAGGCCCACCAAGGCGACGAUCCGUAGCUGGUCUGAGAGGAUGAUCAGCCACACUGGAACUGAGACACGGUCCAGACUCCUACGGGAGGCAGCAGUGGGGAAUAUUGGACAAUGGGCGAAAGCCUGAUGCAGCAAUACCGCGUGGGUGAAGAAGGCCUUCGGGUUGUAAAGCCCUUUUGUUGGGAAAGAAAAGCAGCAGGUUAAUACGCGGCUGUUCUGACGGUACCCAAUGAAUAAGCACCGGCUAACUUCGUG